GGGCCAAUAGCUCAGUUGGUAGAGCUCCCGGCUCAUAACCGGUUGGUCGUAGGUUCGAGUCCUACUUGGCCCACCA
rnacentral:tRNA from 1 species